UGUUGCCUACGGGACGCAGCAGUGGGGGAUAUUGCACAAUGGGGGGAACCCUGAUGCAGCGACGCCGCGUGGGUGAGGAAGCGCCUCGGCGCGUAAAGCCCUGUCAGCAGGGAAGAAAAUGACGGUACCUGAAGAAGAAGCCCCGGCUAACUACGUGCCAGCAGCCGCGGUAAUACGUAGCGGGCAAGCGUUAUCCGGAUUUACUGGGUGUAUAGGGGGCGCAGACGGCGAUGCAAGCCAGGAGUGAAAGCCUG
rnacentral:rRNA from 1 species